GUUCCCCCACCGCGCUCCUGCACGACCCCCGCUGCGGCCCCGCGCUGCCGGCCGUGCCUGCCGCGGGCCAGGAUGGCCCAGCUAUGUUGCAGAACAGUCUGACAGCCCUGUAAAAAUACCUGAGGGAUGAUGUGCAGCCCGGAGGGGACUUUUUGUGACUUUGCAUGGCUGAACUGCAUUUGGAAUGAGGAGCCAGAACACGGAACUGGUCACUAUCUACAUUGCACCCAAGGCGAAGGUGGAGACAGGCGAAUGCCAGAAUUGCAAACUCUAGGUUGGCAUCCAGCGAGGACACUGUGACCGCCGGGAGCUGCAGUGUGGCACUGCGUGUAUUUGACAAGCUGAGUCCGACACUCAGUGUGCAGAGUGUCAGUUUGUCAAAUACCCCAAGUGAGGCACUGCUGAGCAACGCCAUGCCGAGGGUCCAGCCCUUUCCUCCUGCUCUGGCAGGAGUCUUCCUCUCCAGGCUCGGCUCCUCUCCAGAAACCCACCGAGGUAUUGAACAGCCCAUACCAUUGUUCCAGAACACCUGACUGAUCCUGUGCUGCCAGGUUUCCCUUCCACCCCAGUUUUGGAAGUGUCUGUCAGGGUAUCCCUCCCAACAGUAAAUCUGAGCAAAAGUGGUGCUGGUGCAACUCCUCUGCACUGUGAAGACAGGGAAUUUUGCCCUGGGUCCUUGUUCUUUGCUUCCAAAUACAAUGCUGUUCUCUUACACAGCAUUAACUAGCCAGCUGUUAAUUAAGCUCAGUUAACAAGUCCCAGCAACUAUAAUCACAACAUCAUGGGUAAAGUCAGCAUUAUCCAUAUUAAGAAUCUUUCCUUUGCACAUAUAGGAAUCUUUUUUAUAUGGAGUACAAGCUAAUGAGGCUGCUGAUUAACUUCCCUCUGGCCCAUUAACCUGUGAAAAAUGCAUGUUUGCUCAAUCUGUUUUCAAUUAGGCCAUGGAGUCCAUUGCCCCUCCCGGGAGCCUUGCUGUUUGGAGAAGACUUCUUGUCUUUGGAUGGUUAUUCCUAAUCAGCACUUGCAACAAGGUUGCCUAUUCUACUGUUUAAUUAAAGGAAUUCCCUCUAAAUCAUCCCACUUGAAGAUGUAAUGAUUGCAAAGUGUUUUCAGUAACUGACUUGUAGCAUUUCAGAUAUGUCAGGGUAGGGGAAUGACAGGGGCAGCAUCCAGCCCAGUUUGACAAAUCAAACUCUCUGAAAGCAUUUGACAUGGAAAACUCAGAAAUAAAAAAAUCCAAAGACCCUACUGACUAGUUUUAGGACAGUACCACCAGCAAAUUUUGCAAUAUUUGAGAAUACUAAUAAACUUCAAUACUAAGCUUUUGG